UGUUUCUUCGCGCUCUUCCUACCAUCAUGGGGACGGUGGACGCGUUGCGUAUAUUGGCCUCCCGUGCGCCUCGGCAUGCGGAUGGCCCAAACGUGAACCCACGAUGUCUCACGUCACAACCAUUGGUGGUUGAUGAUACGACUUUUAUGUUGUUGUGAUGUGUUGCGUCUACCUCGUUGGUUGAUAUCAUCGGAUGUGACACUCAUCCAAAUAGACCCAACGGCAGGUUGUGUCCUGCAUUU
rnacentral:misc_RNA from 1 species